AUUGAACGCUGGCGGCAGGCCUAACACAUGCAAGUCGAGCGGAGCGGUGGACGGGUGAGUAAUGCAUAGGAAUCUGCCUGGUAGUGGGGGAUAACGUCCGGAAACGGGCGCUAAUACCGCAUACUAUCAGAUGAGCCUAGGUCGGUUUAGCUAGUUGGUGGGGUAAAGGCCUACCAAGGCGACGAGCCGUAACUGGUCUGAGAGGAUGAUCAGUCACACUGUACCUGAGACACGGUCCAGACUCCGACGGGAGGCAGCAGUGGGGAAUCUUGGACGAUUGGCGAAAGCCGUAGCCAGCCAUGCCGCGUGUGUGAAGAAGGUCUUCGGAUUGUAAAGCACUUUAAGUUGGGAGGCGUUACCUACAGGAUAAGCACCGGCUAACUUCGUGCCAGCAGCCGCGGUAAUAC
rnacentral:rRNA from 1 species